UAUCAGUGGGUGGAGAGCAUUGUUAGGAGAAUUGGGGGUAUGCAUGCUAGGGAGAGAGAGAGGAGAGGGAGGCCAAGAGGCCAAGAGCUCGUGCCCCAGCUGCAGGUCGUCAUGGUAGAGGUUAUAUGAGUCGCCUUGUUCAUUCAGCUCUCCUCUCCUUAUAGUCAAGUGGCUUUCACUCCUUCUACUCUAAACUACUGUGUGCCUAUUUUCCGCUUUUCACAAUCAAAGUCAAAGGUUUGUUGGUGGCAAGAUCGGCAUGCCUUCUAGUUGUAGUUGACUUUAAGCGCACAUGAACUACCCAUAGUCGUCUAUUUACGGGCUUGCACUUAAUAUUUUUUAGUAGCCAGUGGUAGUCCAACUCCUCCUAGGCCUCAGGAGCCUUAUUAUGCACCUCCAGUUUCUAGCCGCCUUCUAGGCAGGGUGCUUUCAGAGGCCAGUCCAGCAGACCUGGCCCUUUUCACAUUCGAUGAGCCAUCAGUAAAUAAGGUCAAGACUCCU
rnacentral:lncRNA from 1 species